GACGAACGCUGGCGGCGCGCCUAACACAUGCAAGUCGAACGGAGCUUGAGAGAGCUUGCUUUUUUAAGCUUAGUGGCGAACGGGUGAGUAACGCGUGAGUAACCUGCCCUGGAGUGGGGGCAACAGUUGGAAACGACUGCUAAUACCGCAUAAGCCCACGGCCCGGCAUCGGGCUGAGGGAAAAGGAUUUAUUCGCUUCAGGAUGGACUCGCGUCCAAUUAGCUAGUUGGUGAGGUAAUGGCUCACCAAGGCGACGAUCAGUAGCCGGACUGAGAGGUUGAACGGCCACAUUGGGACUGAGAUACGGCCCAG
rnacentral:rRNA from 1 species